GCAUAUCAAUAAGCGGAGGAAAAGAAACUAACAAGGAUUCCCUUAGUAACGGCGAGUGAAGUGGGAAUGGCACAAAUUUAAAAUCUGGCCAGUUUCUGGUCCGAAUUGUAAUCUAAAGAAGCGUUUUCCGCGUCCAGCUCGAGUAUAGGUCCCUUGGAAUAGGGCAUCAUAGAGGGUGAGAAUCCCGUCUGUGACACGAGGUUGGAGGUGAUAUGAUGCGCUUUCGACGAGUCGAGUUGUUUGGGAUUGCAGCUCAAAAUGGGUGGUAAAUUCCAUCUAAGGCUAAAUAAUGGCAAGAGACCGAUAGCGAACAAGUACCGUGAGGGAAAGAUGAAAAGAACUUUGAAAAGAGAGUUAAACAGUACGUGAAAUUGUUGAAAGGGAAACGAUUGAAGCCAGUCGUGCUGGCGGGAAAUCAGCUUCCGGGAUUACUGGGGGUGCACUUUCUCGCAAGGCAGGUUAGCAUCAAUUUCGUAGGUUGUAAAAAGUCCGUCGGAAUGUGACUCCUUUCGGAGUGUUAUAGCCAGCGGUCAAUGCGACGCGCGGGAUUGAGGAUUGCAGCGGGAGCCUUUAUGGCUAAGUGCCUGGCCCUUGUUCGUGUUCGUCUUGGCAACAGCGUGCUGGUGUCGGGAACGAUUCGAUGGACUAGAGAUGUAGAGUCACGGUAAACUCGCUAAGGAUGCUGACGUAAUGGCUUUAAACGAC
rnacentral:rRNA from 1 species